ACAUUGGUGGUUCAGUGGUAGAAUUCUCAUCUUCCAUGAGGGAGACCCUGGUUCGAUUCCUCUCCAGUGUA
rnacentral:tRNA from 1 species